UACGGAGGGUGCAAGCGUUGUCCGGAUUUAUUGGGUUUAAAGGGUGCGUAGGUGGCCCCUUAAGUCUGACCUGAAAGUGGGCGGCUUAACCGCACAGGGUGGUUGGAUACUGAGGGGCUUGAAGCGGUUGGAGGUUGCCGGAACGGAUGGUGUAGCGGUGAAAUGCAUAGAGAUCAUCCAGAACGCCAAUUGCGUAGGCAGGCUGGCUACGACCGACUUGACACUGAGGCACGAAAGCAUGGGGAGCAACAGG
rnacentral:rRNA from 1 species